AGUUUCCUAGCCAUGAGAUUCUUUUUUUUUUCUUUUUUUUUUUUAAGAUCUCUAUCAGAACAUGCAAGAGUGACCAACCAAGAGGUAUCCAUCCCACCCAACAGCAUAUGCCUGCCAUAAAGCUAUCACAUUAUGUUUACAGUUAAAAAGCAGUGACACUAUGUCUUCCGGCUGUGUUCGGUGAGGAUACUUGUCUCUGCUUCUCCACUAAGCAUAGAGCAGCUGCCACUCAAGUACAACAAAAUACACAGUGAUGGAUGAUGAAGACAUCAUAGAGGAUUGUGCAGAUAUUCUAGUGAAAUAUAGCCUUCAUUACAUAUAUUUUGUGUUUCCAUGGGACUUUGCUCUUCCUUGAAGAGUUGGUUGUCAGAAUGGAAGAAAAAUACUCUCUAUAAUAUUAAAGAUAAAAGUACAAGUGUAUAAAAAGUGUAAAUGUACAAAUUUCUAUCCUAGCCUUAAUGUGUGGAGCAAUGUAGUGGUCUGCUAUUUCAUUUGCAUAUAUAUUUAUUGACUCUUUAUGUAUUUUUUAUGUAUUAAAGUGUGAUUUAUGCAUUUGGAAUGAUGUAAUCACAAUCAUUUAUUAAUGUAU